GAAGUUCCGAGAAUUUUCCUCUGGUUCACCCCAGCUGGCCUCUUCGGAGUGCAGCAACUUAAGAAGCAAGCAAGCCAGUCAACCGAUUGUAACAUAUUUUCCUAUACACGAAUACUGUAGCAGAAUUGACCAUGGUACUCUUCUAAUGGCGUUCUUACACAUGUGAAUUAUGGUACCGAGCACUCUCUUUCAUGGGUACGAAGCAUCACUCUGGCUUUGGCUGUGACUUAUGGUACCGAGCACUCUCUUUCAUGGGUACGAAGCAUCACUCUGGCUUUGGCUGAUAACAACAUUUGAUGUUUCAUGUAAUUAUGAUGUUUCUUAUAAUGCCGAUACUGUAGCGAGUACAAACACUCACGAAAAUCCUGUGACAAAGGAAGCGACCUUGAGCUUUCUCCAACUAGAUUCCACCCAAAAGCAGUCCACAAUUUGUAUUCUAUUUUUUUGUUUUGUACCACAUACAUUUCUUCGUUUAGAAGAAAGAAUAAUACCAAAUAUGAUACGGAGAUCAGGAGAACCAGAAGCUUUGAUAAAUGGGUUUCAUUCUAUGCAUCUGAAGUAUGUUUUAGUGAAAAGAUGAAAAGGCUCUGCAGAUCUCAAGUUUGUCAAGGCCUGAAAUUUGCUUUUACAGAAGAACCCAUUUUAGUAGUAUUCUCCUAAAUGGUUAGUUACACUGCCCUAAAAAUGAUCUGAUAUAAUUCUCUAGCAUUGUAUGGUGGGUUCAUUUUGCUUAACUGGAUCAGAAGUGGGAUUUGAAGAACUGUGUAGUUGCUUGAUCUUGUAGAUUCAAGGCCAAGGUUAUUUUUAAUUGGAAACCCUUCUCUGUAGUCCAUGUGCUUCAUAGAUAUUUGAGGGUCAAUUAUAAUUUGUCACAUUUAUGUUAAACAUUGCAUUGUAGUUCCUCCAGCAAUUCACUUCAACAGGCUUGGAUCAUAUGCUGAAUAUCAGAUAUUGUCCAGUGAUCAAUUUUUUAGUGCAUUGCUGUGUUAUUGUGAGGACAAAUUAUAGGGUAUGUCUCUGAUUGGGGUCAUCUUAAUGUAGUUGUACUUCUUGGGAGCUUACCCAUUCAACUAUCAAAUUUACCAGUAUGAUAAGGCUCCAAAGUGCUCAUUCGACAGCAUAAAGCAAUUACUGGGAAGGGGACUGUGUAUGCAUUGUAAACUAAGGACACCCAAUUCUAACAAAUCAAGGAUGUAUGCUCGUGCAGUUUGAAAGCCACAAGUUAGCAAAGGUAGUCCAUGAUUUGGUCAGCAGAGGUAAUAUUCUGCUACGUCACAACGAAUUAAGAACCCAAUUUCUAGAGAGACAGAGUAUCCAAGCCAAAAAGCAGAGGUAAUAUUUCGCUAGGUCAAAAUAAAUUAAGAGUCCAAUUUCUAGCGAGUGACAGAGUAUCCAAGCCAAAAUCCAUGACAAGUCGUAUCGAGGGAGGGAAGCUCUAUAUGGGCAACCUUAUAUCUCAGAAUGCAUUCUCUUUUCUAUGGAGUUCUGAUAAUUCUGCUGGUGUCGAGUUUGGAUUCGGUAUUAGGAAGCUGAGCUUCUCUCUGAAAGAGCAGUCAGUUGAGUACAAGUUGGAGCUUGGCUUCAGAGAUAUUCGGUAUAUACAUCUCCGUAAUGCAAAGGGUGUGAAGCUCCUUUUGGUUCAGUUGCUUGGCGCUCCAAAGAUUUAUUGCAAGGAAGAACCGUAUUCAAAUCAUAAUAUGGAAUAUGUUCUCGACAUUUUUAGGGACCUGCCCGACUUAUACAGGGACAGUAGUGAUACCUGGGUCAGAACAACAGAUUUUACACGGUCUUCUAGCAUAGGCCAAUCGUCAUCAGUAUGCUUUGCACUUCCCCAUGGCGGCAACAUUUCUCAAAUUCAACGGAAUUUUGCUCAUUACAAAGAAAUUGAAGAGCAGUUCUCCCUCGAAUCAGGGACUUCAUUUUCUUCAACAAGCUUGGUGCCAAUUUUAAGUCCUCCUGUGGAACUGAAUGUGCCUUUUGAAAUACUGUUCAAAGUAAAUUCACUUGUUCAGAAUGGAUUGCUCUGUGGGCCAAACCUCAGCACGGAAUUCUUCAAGUUGCUACAUCCUAAAUGGUUUCCUAGUAACUAUAUAAGUUGGGCUCUUGUACAACUAAAUAAUUUGAGAAACACAUGCUAUGAUCCAGCGAAAUUAAUUAAGAAAGAAUAUGAAAGUCCUAAAAAAUUCAGACAUUUAGGAAGGCACACCGUUCCACUAAAUGCUUAUCUGGACGAGGGCUUGAUGUGUGUCUACCGGGUACAAGUCACACCUUCUAAAGUGUACUUCUUUGGACCUGAAAUCAAUGUAUCCAACCGGGUGACACGACAGUAUGCAGAACAUAUCAAUGACUUUCUCCGUGUAAACUUUGUUGAUGAAAACUGGAAUAGACUGUACUCAAAUGACUUGUCCCCGAGAGUGCGGAAUGGUGUAGAAAGACGUACAAAACUAUACAAACGUAUUCUCACAGUUUUGAAGGAAGGUAUAGUGAUAGGGAGUAAGAAGUUUGAAUUUCUUGCAUUUUCAAGUAGUCAGCUACGGGAAAGUUCUGUAUGGUUCUUUGCUUCAAAUGGAAAAGUUAAUGGAAGGAGUAUCCGAGAAUGGAUGGGGGAUUUUUGGUCUAUUAGAAAUGUGGCAAAAUGUGCAGCAAGAAUGGGACAAUCUUUCAGUUCUUCAACAGAAACACUUCAUGUUUCUCAGUAUGAAAUUCAAAAUAUUCCAGACAUUCGUAUUGAGAGAGGGUAAAAAUUAUAAUUUUUCAGAUGGAAUUGGGAAGAUAUCUUCAUCCCUGGCAAAACAGGUAGCUGCAAAGUGUAAAUGUGAUAAUAUACCUUCCGCAUUCCAAAUAAGGAUUGGUGGUUACAAAGGUGUUGUAGCUGUGGAUCCUCGAUCCCCGUAUAAACUCUCUCUGAGGCCAAGCAUGAAAAAAUAUGAGUCAAAAAAUAGUAAUCUUGAUGUUCUUUCAUGGACCAAAUUCAGACCAUGCUAUUUGAAUCGCCAAAUCAUAACUCUUUUGUCUACUUUGGGAGUUGGGGAUGAGAACUUUGAGAAAAUGCAGGGAGAAGUAGUUAAAAAUCUAGAUCAAAUUUUGACUAACAGAGCCGUGGCCCUUGAAUACCUGCAAUUCAUGACUGUGGGUGAUUCUCACAAUGCUCUGGUAAGUAUGCUUUCAGCUGGCUAUUUGCCUAAUUCCGAGCCAUACUUGUCAAUGCUGCUUCAUGCAUUUCGAGCGACUCAACUGUUUGAAUUAAGAUGUAAGGCACAUAUAUUUGUUGCGAAGGGGGCAUGUUUGAUGGGCUGUCUGGAUGAAACUAGAACAUUGAAGUAUGGUGAAGUAUUUAUUCACGUUCCUCGCACUCCAGGAAACAAGCGAUUUCUUGAUUCAGGGCUUAUUGCAGCUCAAAAGUGGACCAUUGAUUCUGGAACUAGCAUAGUUGAAGGAAAAGUGGUAGUUGCCAAAAACCCGUGCCUUCACCCAGGUGAUGUACGUGUUUUAUCAGCGGUUAACAUCCCCAAUCUUCAUCACAUGAUUGAUUGCAUAGUUUUCCCUCAACAAGGGCAACUGCCCCAUCCAGACGAGUGUUCUGGUAGUGAUUUGGAUGGUGACCUAUAUUUUGUAAGCUGGGAUGCGUCUCUUAUUCCAUCUCAACAGGAUAAGCCAAUGGACUAUGCGGCAAAGCCAGAUGAAUUAUUGGACCAUGCGGUUACAAUUGAGGAGAUUCAAGAGUAUUUUGUCAAUUAUAUGGUAAAUGACACACUGGGAAUCAUAUCUAAUAGGUAUACUGUGUAUGCUGAUCUUGAGUCCCGCAUGGCUCGGAGUCCGAUUUGUCUAGAGUUGGCCAAGCUCUUUUCAACAGCAGUUGACUUCCCGAAAACUGGCAUUCCUGCUCAUAUUCCUGCUUAUCUAACUCCAAAAUGUUAUCCUGAUUUCAUGGAGAAAGAGGAUAAACCCAUGUAUGAAUCAAAACGAAUUAUUGGAAAACUGUACAGGUCUAUCAAGGAAGUGGCAACAGAGGCUCUUUUCAUAAAUUCAUUCACAAGGCAAGUUGCAGAGAAGGCAUAUGAUAAGGAUAUGGAGGUAUUGGGAUUUGAAAACUAUCUCGAGGAAGCAUUGAUGUGCAAAAACUGGUAUGACUCCAGAUUAGCUAUUCUAAUGUACCAUUAUGGGGUUAAGUAUGAAGCAGAGAUUGUCAGUGGAAACAUCUUCAGUUUAUCAAAGUUGCGUGGCUCUAGGCUUGGAGAUCUUAAAGAAACCAUCAUGACAGAAAUUAAGACUCUCAAAAAACAAGCAAGGUCAUGGUUUGAUGAUGGGGAAAGUAGCUCCAAUGGUGAUAAGUUUGCAAAAGCAUCUGCCUGGUAUCAUAUAACAUAUCAUCCUAAGUAUUGGGGUCUCGGAGAUUAUGAAGGGAAAGAUGGGAACAACCCUCAUUUUAUAAGCUUCCCAUGGGUUAUAUAUGAAAAGUUAUUGCGAAUCAAGCGCAAGGACUGGUUUUAAGGAAGUAGUCAGUAAAAUAAGACAAUUAAGUUGACAUGGUAGGGGUGUCUAUAAUAUCUUUAUUUGUUUGAAAGAUUGAUCUUAUUGAACAAAAAUACUUUAAAAUUAUAUUAGAUGUAUAAGGUGUAUUUAUAAAUGUGUUUGUACUUGUAUUUAAGAUUAUCA